rnacentral:rRNA from 1 species
UGCAGUCGAACGAACUCUGGUAUUGAUUGGUGCUUGCAUCAUGAUUUACAUUUGAGUGAGUGGCGAACUGGUGAGUAACACGUGGGAAACCUGCCCAGAAGCGGGGGAUAACACCUGGAAACAGAUGCUAAUACCGCAUAACAACUUGGACCGCAUGGUCCGAGUUUGAAAGAUGGCUUCGGCUAUCACUUUUGGAUGGUCCCGCGGCGUAUUAGCUAGAUGGUGGGGUAACGGCUCACCAUGGCAAUGAUACGUAGCCGACCUGAGAGGGUAAUCGGCCACAUUGGGACUGAGACACGGCCCAAACUCCUACGGGAGGCAGCAGUAGGGAAUCUUCCACAAUGGACGAAAGUCUGAUGGAGCAACGCCGCGUGAGUGAAGAAGGGUUUCGGCUCGUAAAACUCUGUUGUUAAAGAAGAACAUAUCUGAGAGUAACUGUUCAGGUAUUGACGGUAUUUAACCAGAAAGCCACGGCUAACUACGUGCCAGCAGCCGCGGUAAUACGUAGGUGGCAAGCGUUGUCCGGAUUUAUUGGGCGUAAAGCGAGCGCAGGCGGUUUUUUAAGUCUGAUGUGAAAGCCUUCGGCUCAACCGAAGAAGUGCAUCGGAAACUGGGAAACUUGAGUGCAGAAGAGGACAGUGGAACUCCAUGUGUAGCGGUGAAAUGCGUAGAUAUAUGGAAGAACACCAGUGGCGAAGGCGGCUGUCUGGUCUGUAACUGACGCUGAGG